UUUGUGGGGAAUGGUGUCUGGUCCAAGGAGAUCCAUCCAUUACUCACUUUCACUUCAAUCAUUUCUCUCCUCGGACCAGGCUUCAUUCCUCUCAAU
rnacentral:pre_miRNA from 1 species